rnacentral:misc_RNA from 1 species
UGGGUAUUCACAUGACGAGAUUCUGGGAAAAAAAGAAGACAGCGAAAAGGUUACUAGUGAGGAGGGGGGAAGCUUCUUUGAUUGCAAUAUAUGUCUAGACUUGUCGAAAGAACCUGUUGUGACUUGUUGUGGUCACUUGUUUUGUUGGCCAUGUCUUUAUCGGUGGUUACAUCUCCAUUCAGAUGCAAAGGAAUGCCCUGUUUGUAAAGGGGAAGUGACUAUGAAGAAUGUAAUCCCAAUUUAUGGACGUGGAACUAAUGUGCGAGAGCCUGAAGAG